AUUGAACGCUGGCGGCAGGCCUAACACAUGCAAGUCGAACGAGUGGCGGACGGGUGAGUAAUGUCUGGGAAACUGCCUGAUGUAGGGGGAUAACUACUGGAAACGGUAGCUAAUACCGCAUACCAUCAGAUGUGCCCAGAUGGGAUUAGCUUGUUUGUGGGGUAACGGCUCCCCAAGGCCCUGAUCCCUAGCUGGUCUGAGAGGAUGACCAGCCACACGGUAACUGAGACACGGUCCAGACUACUACGGGAGGCAGCAGUGGGGAAUAUUGCACAAUGGGAGCAAGCCUGAUGCAGCCAUGCCGAGUGUAUGAAGAAGGCAUUCGGGUUGUAAAGUACUUUCAGCGGGGAGGCGUUACCCGCAGAAGAAGCACCGGCUAACUCCGUGCCAGCAGCCGCGGUAAUAC
rnacentral:rRNA from 1 species